rnacentral:rRNA from 1 species
UACGUAGGCAGCGAGCGUUGUUCGGAGUUACUGGGCGUAAAGAGUGCGUAGGCGGUUUUCUAAGUUUGGUGUGAAAUCUCCCGGCUUAACUGGGAGGGUGCGCCGAAGACUGGAAGGCUUGAGUAUGGGAGAGGUAAGCGGAAUUCCUGGUGUAGCGGUGAAAUGCGUAGAUAUCAGGAGGAACACCUGCGGUGUAAACGGCUUACUGGACCAUAACUGACGCUGAGGCACGAAAGCGUGGGUAGCAAACAGG